rnacentral:rRNA from 1 species
GAUGAACGCUGGCGGCGUGCCUAAUACAUGCAAGUCGAGCGAACGGACGAGAAGCUUGCUUCUCUGAUGUUAGCGGCGGACGGGUGAGUAACACGUGGAUAACCUACCUAUAAGACUGGGAUAACUUCGGGAAACCGGAGCUAAUACCGGAUGAUAUUUUGAACCGCAUGGUUCAAAAGUGAAAGACGGCCUUGCUGUCACUUAUAGAUGGAUCCGCGCUGCAUUAGCUAGUUGGUAAGGUAACGGCUUACCAAGGCAACGAUGCAUAGCCGACCUGAGAGGGUGAUCGGCCACACUGGAACUGAGACACGGUCCAGACUCCUACGGGAGGCAGCAGUAGGGAAUCUUACGCAAUGGGCGAAAGCCUGACGGAGCAACGCCGCGUGAGUGCUGAAGGUCUUCGGAUCGUAAAACUCUGUUAUUAGGGAAGAACAUAUGUGUAAGUAACUGUGCACAUCUUGACGGUACCUAAUCAGAAAGCCACGGCUAACUACGUG